rnacentral:rRNA from 1 species
GUGAAACCCGUCUCUCCGUGUUACCUUGAGAAACUCUUUUUUCCGAGGCACACGUUAAAGAUUGUUCCGCGUUGUGAGUCUAACAUCGGUUGCAUAAACUUUUUACAACCGGUAGCGCUGGAUCCCUUGGCACGUCAUUCGAUGAAGACCGUUGCAAAUUGCGAUAAAGUGAUGUGAUGCGCAAGUCCACCACUUAUACGUGAAUCAUCGAGUUGUUGAACGCAUUGCACCGCGCCCUAAUCCGGCUGCGGUAUGCCCCUUUGAGCGUCAUUGUAUCCCUUCGGGAGUCCUUUUACAAGGACCCGAGYUCGGAGUCCUCGGUCCUCUYUGGAUCGUGUUCUCUCAGAUGCCUCGCGCCGAUCGCCUGAUGGGUCCUCUAAUGCCUAAGCGUGGAGUUCCUUCAGUCCRAGACGCGCUUGACCGGGUCUUGAGCCUGCGUCAUCAAGUCUGCCUAACCAGCGGUACUACAACGCAUGACCUCAUUGGGGUAGGACAACCCGCUAGAUCUUAAGCAUAU